AACUGCAGAUAACAGUCAGCUGAAGUAGCCUGCAGUACUGCACUCUACCCACUGCGCCACCUCGGCUCUCUGAUGAGGUCUUCUUAGCUUCACAGCCACCUCCAGGAGGGAGCACCUUUCCUCGGGGUCCUGAAUGCUGCGCAGCUCAUCCCACCAGUGGAGUGGUUCACGGCAGAAUGCCGCGAAUCUCGUCUUGCUGGUGCAGCCGCCCACGUGCGACAACACAACACAACAUGCAUCAUCCAGACACGAACGGCUCCAUCAAUGAGACGAGGUGCUAUGGAGAACAGAUUGACCCCCUCUUCUUUUUGUGGCAGUCCCUCAGAUACUGGAACUCUGCUAUCAUAUCACUCCUUAGGAGAAAGCCCUUUGCAAAGUCAUUGUUAAUGUACACAGCUUGCAUAUGAAUUUACGAUCAGAUUGCCAGUAUCUUCGGCAGGUUUUGGGAUUGCAAGUGGUUUUAAAAUCAGUAGAUAAAGGUUUCCCACAGACAGCCUAAGAAGAGAUGGAAGGAACCUUGGAGGUCUUCUCGUCCAAUUGUCUGUUGUGGAAACUGAUGGCGCCAUUGGCGGUGAGGGAGAGAAGAUUGUUCUACGCAAACAGUGUGAGGGAUGCACACCAGCCACUUUGACAAAUAGAAUUGCUCACAAAUGAGCAGGUGCAUCUGGCGCUUGUGCAGAUGGAGCUGCGUGUGUAAGCAGGCUCGCACGCCAUUGUGUGCCCCAGUUCUUUAUAUAUAACAUUUUUUAAAAAUAUUUUUGUAUAAUAAUUCCAACUUCCAUUAAAAAGUGUGUCAUCA